UACAGAGGGUGCAAGCGUUAAUCGGAAUUACUGGGCGUCAAGCGCGCGUAGGUGGUUUGGUAAGUCGGAUGUGAAAUCCCCGGGCUUAACCUGGGAAGGGCAUUUUGAACUGGCAGUCUAGAGUGUGUCAGAGGGGGGUGGAAUUCCACGUGUAGCAGUGAAAUGCGUAGAUAUGUGGAGGAACACCAAUGGCGAAGGCAGCCCCCUGGGAUAACACUGACGCUCAUGUGCGAAAGCGUGGGUAGCAAACAGG
rnacentral:rRNA from 1 species